GACAGAGGGGGCAAGCGUUGCUCGGAAUUACUGGGCGUAAAGGGCGCGUAGGUGGCGACCCAAGUCUGUGGUGAAAGCUCGACGCUCAACGUCGAGUCGGCCAUAGAUACUGGGUUGCUUGAGCACUGUAGAGGCAGAUGGAAUUCCGGGUGUAGCGGUGGAAUGCGUAGAGAUCCGGAAGAACACCGGUGGCGAAGGCGGCAUCCUGGGCCGGUAUUGACGCUGAGGCGCGAAAGCCAGGGGGAGCAAACGGG
rnacentral:rRNA from 1 species